rnacentral:rRNA from 1 species
AGCUUGCUACUGGAUUCAGCGGCGGACGGGUGAGUAAUGCUUAGGAAUCUGCCUAUUAGUGGGGGACAACGUUCCGAAAGGAGCGCUAAUACCGCAUACGUCCUACGGGAGAAAGCAGGGGACCUUCGGGCCUUGCGCUAAUAGAUGAGCCUAAGUCGGAUUAGCUAGUUGGUAGGGUAAAGGCCUACCAAGGCGACGAUCUGUAGCGGGUCUGAGAGGAUGAUCCGCCACACUGGGACUGAGACACGGCCCAGACUCCUACGGGAGGCAGCAGUGGGGAAUAUUGGACAAUGGGGGGAACCCUGAUCCAGCCAUGCCGCGUGUGUGAAGAAGGCCUUUUGGUUGUAAAGCACUUUAAGCGAGGAGGAGGCUACCUAGAUUAAUACUUUAGGAUAGUGGACGUUACUCGCAGAAUAAGCACCGGCUAACUCUGUGCCAGCAGCCGCGGUAAUACAGAGGGUGCGAGCGUUAAUCGGAUUUACUGGGCGUAAAGCGUGCGUAGGCGGCCAAUUAAGUCAAAUGUGAAAUCCCCGAGCUUAACUUGGGAAUUGCAUUCGAUACUGGUUGGCUAGAGUAUGGGAGAGGAUGGUAGAAUUCCAGGUGUAGCGGUGAAAUGCGUAGAGAUCUGGAGGAAUACCGAUGGCGAAGGCAGCCAUCUGGCCUAAUACUGACGCUGAGGUACGAAAGCAUGGGGAGCAAACAGGAUUAGAUACCCUGGUAGUCCAUGCCGUAAACGAUGUCUACUAGCCGUUGGGGCCCUUGAGGCUUUAGUGGCGCAGCUAACGCGAUAAGUAGACCGCCUGGGGAGUACGGUCGCAAGACUAAAACUCAAAUGAAUUGACGGGGGCCCGCACAAGCGGUGGAGCAUGUGGUUUAAUUCGAUGCAACGCGAAGAACCUUACCUGGCCUUGACAUACAGAGAACUUUCCAGAGAUGGAUUGGUGCCUUCGG